ensembl:miRNA MIR6782 microRNA 6782
UGGGGUAGGGGUGGGGGAAUUCAGGGGUGUCGAACUCAUGGCUGCCACCUUUGUGUCCCCAUCCUGCAG